CCCCAUUUAAGAGCUGACUGCCACUGGAGAAGGAUCUCUUUCUCAAGAUCCCUCUUUUGUGAAGCUUUUCAUUGCAAGCUUAAAUCUCCAGAUAUGGUGGUAACAGAACAAACACAGCCAUUGGGUGCAGGUUGUGAUAAAGACCAAAUUCUGCAGAGCUUUGUACACGUGGGUCUGGAUUCUGCAAAACUACUUUGGGAAGCUUUGAAGGCAAGUGCAAAAGAACAAUACUGCUGCUCCCUAGUGCUAUGAUCUGCAAGAAAGAUGAUCAAGAACUUUUCUGUUUAACGCUGGUGGUAUAUAAUUAUGCACCAGGAAUGAAGGCCAAGAGAAACAACUUUCAUGAGGUGGGAAAUGGUUUGAAAGGUUUCAGCAACAGUCUUGAGAAUGAUCUGCAGAAGUACAGAAAGACUUUCUUCUCACAGAGAAAUGAAGCAUGCUGAAUGUAUACUCUGAGACAAAAAAAAAAAAAAACCAACAGGAUUCAUUAUUUCAGUCUCCCAAUUUAAUUAGAUGAGAGAAAUGUCUGUGGCUGAAAGCAGUUACUUGCAUUUUGUAAAUUUUUCAUUGCUUUUUACUUCGAGCCAUGUACAAAAAUAGUAAUUUGCUCUUGCAGAAACUGUCACUAUACCUGGAAUUUACAAUGAGCAAUACUUGCAAUAACUUAAUCAGAGAAAAUAAGUAAAAUUCAUGUGUUUCUUACCUUGCCUUGAGCAUGAUGGCUC
ensembl:lncRNA